rnacentral:lncRNA from 1 species
GUCAAAUACAUGUCCCCCUGACCCUUCUGUUGGACAUACUGUUGCUAGGUUAAAUACAUGUCCCCUUGACCCUUCUGUUGGACAUACUGUUGCUAGGUAAAAUACAUGUCCCCCUGACCCUUCUGUUGCUAGGUCAAAUACAUGUCCCCCUGACAAUUCUGAAGCUAGGUCAAAUACAUGUCCCCCUGACCCUUCUGUUGCUAGGUCAAAUACAUGUCCCCCGCACCCUUCUGUUGGACAUACUGUUGCUAGGUAAAAUACAUGUCCCAAUGACCCUUCUGUUGCUAGGUCAAAUACAUGUCCCCCGACCCUUCUGUUGCUAGGUCAAAUACAUAUCCCCCUGACCCUUCUGUUGCUAGGUCAAAUACAUGUCCCCCUGAUUCUUCUGUUGCUAGGUCAAAUACAUGUCCCCCGACCCUUCUGUUGCUAGGUCAAAUACAUAUCCCCCUGACCCUUCUGUUGCUAGGUCAAAUACAUGUCCC